GUCUACAUGGUGUAACGGUAACACCCCUUGAUUGUAUACCUUGCCUGACUUAUCAUCAAGAUAAUGUGGGUUUGAAUCCCGCUGUGGACU